CCCUUAGAUGUUCGGAGCUGCACGCGCGCUACACUGAAGGAAGCAGCGUGUUAGAGCACCUGGCUUGAAAGAGCUGGGUAAUCCGGUGAAUGUCCUUCGUGAUUGGGAUAGGGACUUGUAAUUAUUUCCCUUGAACGAGGAAUACCUAGUAAGUGCGAGUCAUCAGCUUGCGCUGACUUACGUCCCUGCCCCUUGUACACACCGCCCGUCGCUCCUACCGAUUGAGUGGUCCGGUGAGGCUUUGGGAUCUGAGCGGAAAGAGCGUUUCGCUGUUUCUGCUCGGAAAACUCAGUCGAACCUUAUCAUUUAGAGGAAGGAGAAGUCGUAACA
rnacentral:rRNA from 1 species